UUAAAUUUAACAUAUUUUAAUUACAAAAACUUCAAAACAAUUAAUAUAUAUUUUUAACAUCUAAAAUGAUACAUUUUCAAAAAGCAUUUUUUACCUGUCAACCUCAACUCUAAACAGGCCUUUAUGACAGCAAUAACAAUAAUAACUAUUUAUUUAUCCAUAGUUGAAUUUACACAUUGAUGAUCCACAACCGUAAUUGAAGGAAUCUGUGAUGUUAUUAUUACUAUUAUUAUUUUUUAAUUAUGUCAAUAAUGCUAUGUGAAAAUUGGAUGAUUCCUAUAUUGCCGAAUGCUGCUAGCAUGAAGACUAAUUUAUUAUACAAAAAGAAUAGGAUCCACAAUCAUGUGGAUCAAAGAAUAUUGAUUAUAAAAUUUGGCAUCUUAUGGAGCAUUCAAUUUCCAAAUGCAAAUUUUAUUAUCGUACCCUGUAGCCCUGUUCUGCUGCUCUAAGAUAUACCAAUCCUCGUUUUAUUCUCUGCAAAAGAAAUCAGAAAGAAAAAAUUAUGAGCAUCCCUUAAGUCAUUUGACACAUUAACUAGCAUUUCAGCCUCUCUCAAGGAUAUCCAUCAUAAGGAAAAGGUUGGAAAAACCUAGCUUUAAAAUGGUGCAUGGAAGCAAAACUUCAUGAACUUCCACUAGGCAAGGAACUUUUUGCAGGCAGUCAUCACCAAAGCAUUUCAUUGCUCUAUUCGUCUUACCAUUGGGUUAUUUCCAGGAAUAGGUAAAAUAUGGAUUUAUAUGACUUACAUGCAUCAAAUGAGUUACAUCAUCUAACAAGUACCCAACUAUCUGGAAGACCAACAAAAUGUGUUAAGGUCUAUAUACCUCUUCUGUAUCCCUUAUGCGCAGGAGCUCCAAUUUUUCAUAAGGCUUCCUAUCUGAUAAUGUUACAAGCUGAAGCCAAGCAAAAAUCAAAAUCAGCAAGUACAGCAAACCAUGUUUAACUCCCACAUAUUCAUUGUGAAUAAUAAUCAAUACCCAGAAACUGAAGCGCUCAGGAUCCAAUGGUGUGGGCAUCAUCGCUUCUACAUUUAAUAGUUUCUCAAGUCUUCUUCGAUCUGUAUGAAUUGUCAUAAAUUGAAACUAAACAAUGCAAAACACAAAACACAAAUAUAGAAUAGGAAAAAUCACCCUUCUUCUUUGUGCAAUGGCAAACUGUAAGUGCACAAAUGAUUUAAUGCUGCUAAUGCAGAUAUGAAAAUCAUCUAACAAGCAACUAAGAUUUGGUAUAAAAUUUUGAGUCAUGAUAAAGUUGCACUUAACACAGAAUUAAUGGAGAAGGAAACACCCUCCAUCUAAAUCUAAUUCAACAGUUCAGUAUAAAUACUAGAAACUGACUCAAAUUCUUCUAUCUAUAACACCCAUCAAUUUUGUAAGUUUUAUAUGAAAUAAAUAGAGCUUUCACAAGUCGAGGCAUUCAUCGCAAAUGUUUACCUUGUCUUGCAGCCUCUUUUGCCCUCCUUAACCACGACUCAGCAUAUUCCGCUGCAUUAUUUGUAAUAUCCUGCAACUGAAACCAUCCAGAAAUCAAUCCAUAAAGGGAUCAACAUGUAACAAAAGGUGAGCAUUUCUCACAACAACAGAAUUUGAACUUGGGAAUUUCAACUUGGAGAUCUUAGGUUUGAAUCCUAUUUGAACAAGAGGCACAUGGGUUUUAUGGGAUUGAGGCAUUGGCGGAUCCAACUGAUAAAACAAGGGUUCGAUUGACCCUUCUUUUUGUUCAAAGAAUCUUUAUACAUAUAUAUACUUGUUUAGAUUAACCCCUCAUAAACUUAAUUAUUGAACCUUGAUAAAAGUUAGAACUAAAUAAGAAUAAAUAGUAUUUUUCAACUGAUAUAAGAUAUUUAAAUGUUAAUAUUAAUUGAUGAAUGACUUCAGUUAUAUACAGAGAAAUAUAUUUUAUAACAUUAAUAAUACAAUUCUUGAUAAUUUUUAGUAUACUAGACCUAAUUGAAUUCAAUUGAAAGAUAUUGGUAUUAUGUUUUUUUACUUUUUUUUAUAAUAUUUUCUAUGUGUUGACUCCAAAAAAAAUUUUUCUAGAUCCGCCACUGGAUUGAGGAGAGCCAUCCUCCUUGUGUUGCCCAAGGAUAAAUGUUAUCCAAUGCACAACUCAACUCAAAUGGAGCCCCAAUCCCAAACUAAUCAAGGGGACCCCAGAUGAGCCACACACACAGUUGAUAUCCUACAUCUUCCAGUAAUGAUACAAACCAUUUGGUGCUAUGAGAUCUCAUUGAUACAACAACUAAAAGACAGUAGGCAAGUUUCUUUAAAUUUUAAAAAAAUAUGUAUAUAUGCCAAAAGACCAGAAAUAUAUUAAAUCCCAGGACCCCUGAAUGGAUCAAAACACGGUAACAAAAAGUUUAACCACUUUUUUCUCUUUCUUUAAACUUUUCAACAUUGCUUUGACACCAAAACAGAGGAAUUAAAAUAAAAUAAAAUAAAAUUAAUAAUGUUUAUGUGUUCAGAGCAUAAUCCUAAUCAGUUAGCGCAGGAUAUAAUAUGUUUUCAGUUUCCUUUCUUUAAAAGUAGUAAGUUGCAUUUCAUUUAUGUUGCUUAAAUUGUCGGGUUGUUUCAUUAGUGGGUCAUAGUUACCAAGUUAGUUUUUGGGUUCAGUGUAUUAUAUUUAUUAAUUUAUGAUGAAUGGAAAGAGGGAAGCCAGUAUUUUGAAAGGUCAUCAUAGAGAUCUCUCCAACAAGCUCUAAUUUCUAAAAAUCCACAAUAGGUCUCAAAAGAAGGAAAACUAAGCAAAAAUAAUUCUAAGCUCAUCCCCUCUUUGAUUUUCAGUUGGAUCACCCCAUAACUAGAUCAGUUUCCCGAAACCUCAACAAAUAAUAACAAUGAUAAAGAGAAGUCCAAGAAGAAGAAGAAUAUAAAAGCAGCAAGCAUACUUCUGCUCUCCUUUUCGGUGGAUCAUCCUGAACCCAGUCAACCUCUGCAACACGAUACCCAUCUUGAUCCCAAGAUCGAAGGAUGCGAAAUCUACGGCGGCUUUCAACCUGCAAGAAAUAGUAUUUUAUUAAAUAUGAAUAAACACAAAGCACAUACUGAGAUAAAAAUGGGAAACUAGAUGAACACCACCCACCCCCACCCAAAAAUAAAAAACCCCUCUUCUCCCUCAAGGGCUGAUACAUGGAUCCUAGAAGCUCAAAAUUUUGCAAUAUCUAAGCAUCAUUUUCUAGAUAUAGUAGUCAUUAAUAACAAAUAUUGCGCAUCUUAUGCAGAGUGCUAAUCAAUUAUGAAAUCCAGUCUCUUUUAGAAGACAAGCAAAACACAAGUAUUUCUGCAAGGAAAAGAAAAUUGGUGUUUUUACCUCUAGAUAGAAUCGUCCAUCUGGAAGUGGCUCACACCUACACAGUAGCAACUAGUUGACUCAGAACAAAGCCAUGUUUAAAUGAAGGUGUUCAGACUUCAGAGACGGGGAAAAAGUAUGACAACUAGAUAUUUAAAAUUUGAUAACUACGUGAAAUAUAAACCAAAAACCUACUCUGUUAUCUCCACUUCACAAGCAAAAUCGACAAUAGAUCCUGCAGUGGAAUCAAGGACAACCUAAAUAAUCAUAUAAACCAAAGCAAUGUUGAGUAUUUUUGGUCCAUGCAAUGGUCAUUAAGCAGAAAAGAGGUGAAGAAAAGGACCACUGUCAAUAAUCUACCAUUCCCAUCCGAUGAUUUCCUUCCAUUAUCCUUCUCACCUGUCAUGAAAAAUAGAAAGCAGACUAACAUUAUCAAUGCAAUGAAAGAAUAAAAAUUGGAAAUUCAUUUCUCAGGUUUAAGUUAGUUUUAAAAGGAAAAGAAAAAAAGAAAGACAUGACACAUCUACCUAGAAUACCACCAACUAAUUUGGAGUUUGACAUAAGAUUCUACAUGGAAUUAGGACACAGGUUUUAGACUUAAAAAACAGAUUUCUUUUCUCGUUUUUUUUUUCCAAGUUCCAAAUUCUCUGCUGACUGUAAUAAGAUUCAGGAAAAAGGUGAUGCCUACAGAGUUCAGCAAUACCUGAAACUUGGUACAAAUUUAGAGCCGCUAGACCCAAUUCACAGAACCCACAAAGCACUGCAAUACCUAAAUAUGUCUUACAGUAUGCCAACAAAAUGAGUACACACACCAUGUUUUCUUUGCUUAGCUAAGUAGGAGAUUCAGGCAUAAAAUUCAAUCACAAAAAGCUCCAGCAUGGACUUCUUCAGACAAUACAUCUUGAUCUUGCUUAUCUGGCUAAGUCCAUUGCAUUAUCAAAAAUGGUGUCAAGCUUUUGGUAAUGGCAAGAUUUAUGUACAACAAUAUUUCUGAAACUUCCCCUCAAGCUAAUACAGAUGGGAAUAAAAAUCAUCCUUCCCACAAACACGUUUUAGAAAACCAAAACCAUAUGGAUAUAGGCUUCUCACUACAAACAAGUAAUUGCAUUGCAAUGCACACAAGCAUAGCUUGCUAAAGUCUCACAGCUGCCAGGAAAUCAGGCUAUGUACUGGAUAAAAGUAACGCCAGCUGCCAAAUUGCAGCCAGGUACAAGACACACUAGCACUAUAAUUGAACCAUAAAAGUGCUUAAUGCCACUCCUGUAAUUCUUGUUAACCCUUUGGGUCAAAAGAACUACUCGAUAAAAAUAAAAUUUUCAAACUUGCUGAGCAACAUAGUUUGUUCUCUUUAAAAUAUUUACUUUUUGCAUAUCUGUCUCCAAAACAUCAUUUUAAGUGGAGUAGAAACAGGUUGGGGAAAAAGCUUAUAUUAUGAGAGUGUAUGUUAAUCCGGAUGAGCUUAAAUCAGUAGGACACACAAAGAAAUGAUGAUUGAGUGUGAUAGGAGGUCUUUCAGAUAUUAAUAAUUAACUAAAAUUUUAAAACCAAAAAAUUGUUGUCGCACUUCUCUAUGAGACCCAGAUAUCUUGCAUUAUAACAUCCUUGCUGAUAUAAAAACAGAUUUGUGCAUGUAUUGCUAGAAAAGGUAUUAAAAUCGACCUUGAAAGCAUUUAACUGAAAACAGCAGUAUUGAAUUUUACAGAUUCAAAUCAUGCUAAAUGCCUCUUUCAGUUAAACUAGCCCUUGCAUUUUAGGAGUCCUAAGAUUUCAUGUCAAAGCAUUGAUAAUCCAUCAUAUAGAUGCACACGGCAUGUGAAGAAAAAAAAUGCUUGAUAACAUUAUAUUAAGUAACAGCCAACCAUUUAGAUUAUCAAUGGAAUGUUCAACUCACCAUUAGCCUGUAUCGAGGUUCAAAUAUGUGGAGUGGAAACUUCUGACAUGGUAUAACAACAUCCAUGACAAAAAGGGGGAUCAGAUCAACCCCAAAAUUUGUCAAACUCUCAUGCUCAGACUUCCUAUCAGCGUACUCCUCUGGGAAGUUCUUUUCUA
rnacentral:misc_RNA from 1 species